rnacentral:rRNA from 1 species
AUUGAACGCUGGCGGCAGGCCUAACACAUGCAAGUCGAACGGUAACAGGAAUCAGCUUGCUGAUUCGCUUACGCGUGGCGGGCGGGUGUGUAAUGUCUGUGAACCUGCCUGAUGGAGGGGGAUAACUCCUGGAAACGGUAGCUAAUACCGCAUAACGUCGCAAGCCCAAAGAGGGGGACCUUCGGGCCUCUUUCCAGCGAAUGUGCCCAGACGGGAUUAGCUAGUAGGUGGGGUAAAGGCUUACCUAGGCGACGAUCCGUAGCCGAUCUGAGAGGGUGACCGGCCACACUGGAACUGAGACACGGUCCAGACUCCUACGGGAGGCAGCAGUAGGGAAUCUUGCGCAAUGGGCGAAAGCCUGACGGAGCAACGCCGCGUGAGUGAAGAAGGUCUUCGGAUCGUAAAACUCUGUUAUUAGGGAAGAACAAAUGUGUAAGUAACUAUGCACGUAUUGACGGUACCUAAUCAGAAAGCCACGGCUAACUACGUG